CUGGCGGCGUGCCUAAUACAUGCAAGUCGAACGCACUCUCGUUUAGAUUGAAGGAGCUUGCUCCUGAUUGAUAAACAUUUGAGUGAGUGGCGGACGGGUGAGUAACACGUGGGUAACCUGCCCUAAAGUGGGGGAUAACAUUUGGAAACAGAUGCUAAUACCGCAUAAAACCUAACACCGCAUGGUGUAGGGUUGAAAGAUGGUUUCGGCUAUCACUUUAGGAUGGACCCGCGGUGCAUUAGUUAGCUGGUGAGGUAAAGGCUCACCAAGACCGUGAUGCAUAGCCGACCUGAGAGGGUAAUCGGCCACACUGGGACUGAGACACGGCCCAGACUCCUACGGGAGGCAGCAGUAGGGAAUCUUCCACAAUGGACGAAAGUCUGAUGGAGCAACGCCGCGUGAGUGAAGAAGGUUUUCGGAUCGUAAAACUCUGUUGUUGGAGAAGAAUGUAUCUGAUAGUAACUGAUCAGGUAGUGACGGUAUCCAACCAGAAAGCCACGGCUAACUACGUG
rnacentral:rRNA from 1 species